AUUUAAAUAAUUUAAUAAAAAUAUAGAUUUGUGGUGUCUAAAAUGCAAAAAUUUUGCUUUAAAUC
rnacentral:tRNA from 1 species